rnacentral:rRNA from 1 species
GGGCCAUUAGGUUGGUCGUGCCACCGGUACGUACUGGUCUCACUGAUUCCUCCUUCCUGAAGAACCGUAAUGCCAUUAAUUUGGUGUUGCGGGGAAACAGGACUGUUACUUUGAAAAAAUUAGAGUGUUUAAAGCAAGCUAACGCUUGAAUACAUUAGCAUGGAAUAAUGAAAUAGGACGAUCGAUCCUAUUUUGUUGGUUUCUAGGAUUGACGUA